rnacentral:rRNA from 1 species
UACGUAGGGUGCAAGCGUUAAUCGGAAUUACUGGGCGUAAAGCGUGCGCAGGCGGUUUUGUAAGUCAGAUGUGAAAUCCCCGGGCUUAACCUGGGAACUGCGUUUGAAACUACAAGGCUAGAGUGUGGCAGAGGGGGGGUGGAAUUCCGACGUGUAGCAGUGAAAUGCGUAGAGAUGUGGAGGAACACCGAUGGCGAAGGCAGCCCCCCUGGGUUAACACUGACGCUCAGGCACGAAAGCGUGGGGAGCAAACAGG